rnacentral:rRNA from 1 species
CGCACGGGUGAGUAACACGUAGAUAAUCUACCUUCAAGCCUGGGAUAACUAUUCGAAAGGAUAGCUAAUACCGGAUGAAGUGAUUUACCACAAGGUAAACCAUGAAAGAUUGCCUCUUCCUGAAAGCAAUUGUUUGGAGAUGAGUUUGCGGACCAUUAGUUAGUUGGUGGGGUAAAGGCCUACCAAGACAACGAUGGUUAGCUGGUCUGAGAGGAUGAUCAGCCACACUGGAACUGGUACACGGUCCAGACUCCUACGGGAGGCAGCAGUGAGGAAUUUUGCGCAAUGGGGGCAACCCUGACGCAGCAACGCCGCGUGAGUGAAGAAGGCCUUUGGGUCGUAAAGCUCUGUCGACAGGGAAGAAAUUACAGAUAUCCAAUAGGUAUCUGUAUUGACGGUACCUGUAGAGGAAGCACCGGCUAACUCCGUGCCAGCAGCCGCGGUAAUACGGGGGGUGCAAGCGUUAUUCGGAAUUAUUGGGCGUAAAGGGCGCGUAGGCGGUCUUGUCGGUCAGAUGUGAAAGCCCGGGGCUCAACCCUGGAAGAGCAUUUGAAACAGCAAGACUUGAGUACGGGAGAGGAAAGCGGAAUUCCUGGUGUAGAGGUGAAAUUCGUAGAUAUCAGGAGGAACACCGAUGGCGAAGGCAGCUUUCUGGACCGAUACUGACGCUGAGGCGCGAAGGCGUGGGUAGCGAACGGGAUUAGAUACCCCGGUAGUCCACGCAGUAAACGAUGUUCACUAGGUGUGUCGGAUAUUAAAAUCUGAUGUGCCCAAGCUAA